rnacentral:rRNA from 1 species
UACUAGAGUAGCACUCGCAUAUCAAUAAGCGGAGGAAAAGAAACUAACAAGGAUUCCCCUAGUAACGGCGAGUGAAGCGGGAAGAGCUCAAAUUUGAAAUCUUCAAGGGUUUCCCCUGACGAAUUGUAGUUUAAAGAAGUGUUUUCUGUUAGAGAGGUGGUAAAAGUUCUUUGGAAUAGGACAUCAUAGAGGGUGAGAAUCCCGUAUUUGACCAUUAUUUCCAGCUGUGUGAUACACUUUCAAAGAGUCGGAUUGUUUGGGAAUGCAGUCCAAAAUGGGUGGUAAAUUUCAUCUAAAGCUAAAUAUUGGCGAGAGACCGAUAGCGAACAAGUACCGUGAGGGAAAGAGAUGAAAAGAACUUUGAAAAGAGAGUUAAACAGUACGUGAAAUUGUCAAAAGGGAAGCGUUUGACACCAGUGUUGUUUUCUCGAAAAUCAAUUAAAAAUGGCCGGAUUUUGUGUUGUAUUGACCUUAAAAGCUUUCUUCACUCUUUUCUUGUCUUUUUUAAUGCACUUUUCGUUUAACAAGUCAACAUCGGUUUCUUUUGUUGUAAAAGAGUCAUUGGAAGGUGGCUUUUUCUUCGGAAAAAGUGUUUAUAGCCUUUGGCUUCUGCAAUCGGAGAGAUUGAGGUCUGCAGCGUAGAUCCUUCGGGGUUAGAUACAUUUGUGCUAAGCUAUAGUUCUUUAUAGACAACUUGUUGACUAUAAUCAAUCCUGUAACUUACUCGCUUAUGCUAUUUUACCUACGCUUAGGAUGUUGAUAGUCACAGCGUGUAC